rnacentral:rRNA from 1 species
GACGAACGCUGGCGGCGUGCUUAACACAUGCAAGUCGAACGGAAAGGCCCCCACUUUUUUGGUGGGGGUGCUCGAGUGGCGAACGGGUGAGUAACACGUGGGUGAUCUGCCCUGUACUUCGGGAUAAGCUUGGGAAACUGGGUCUAAUACCGGAUAGGACCAUGGUUUAGUGUCUCAUGGUGGAAAAAUUAUUGUUUUGGUGCAGGAUGAGCUCGCGGCCUAUCAGCUUGUUGGUGGGGUAAUGGCCUACCAAGGCGUCGACGGGUAGCCGGCCUGAGAGGGUGGACGGCCACAUUGGGACUGAGAUACGGCCCAGACUCCUACGGGAGGCAGCAGUAGGGAAUAUUGCACAAUGGGCGCAAGCCUGAGGCAGCGACGCCGCGUGGGGGAUGACGGCCUUCGGGUUGUAAACUCCUUUCGUUAGGGACGAAGCCGCACCUUUUUUGGGUGUGGUGACGGUACCUUUGUGAAGAAGCACCGGCUAACUACGUG